CAGGCCCAGAGAUGGGAAGUCCUGGGUUCAAAACUGUCCUCAGAUGCUUCUUAACUGGAUGACCCCAGGCAAGUCAAUUAACCCCUAAUGCCUGGCCCUUCCUGCUCUUUCACCUUAGAGCUAAGACAGAAGAUUCUCAUAAGUGCCGCCUCAAACCACCUUGGGACAGACAAGUCAUAUGAGAGAGCAAAGAGGACUAUACUCGUUGGACAGCUGUCUCUCUCCAGACUAGAAAUGAGUUUGAUACAGAUUAAUGAUAUGCUUGUCUCCCCAUUGGAGGGGCUGUGAGCGCCUGGAGGGCAAGGACGUCCCCCCUGUCUUUUGCAUCCCCCCGGGUUUGCUCAGUGCCUGCAGGUAUACAGUAGGUACUUGAUAAAUGCUGGCUGCCCCGUUCGUCCUGAUAGUGGAUCCCAACAAUGAACGCACAAGUGCCAACUGGUGCAGUCCAGGGCCUUGGAGGCUAUAGUUGGGGCCAGUGCGUGAGUGACCACCAGCCCAGUGGGGUCACAGAGACGAAAGGGUCGGGGGCUGGAGCUGGGACGUCCUGGGAGCGCCAGCGUGGCUCUGCCCCUUGGCCAGUCUUAACGGAGUUCCCUGGAUAGACUGACCCAAUGAUCCGAUUCCAUACAAUAAUAUCACCUCACUUCAAUUAUGUUGAAAUACGAUUUUCAGAAACACGAGCUAU
rnacentral:lncRNA from 1 species